rnacentral:tRNA from 1 species
GGCGGCGUAGCUCAGACUGGCAGAGCAAACGGCUCAUACCCGUUAUGUCGGCGGUUCAAAUCCGCCCGCCGCCA